UACGGAGGGCGCGAGCGUUGUCCGGAAUCACUGGGCGUAAAGGGCGCGUAGGCGGCCCUGGGAAGUCUGCGGUGAAAGCCCGGGGCUCAACCCCGGGUCGGCCGCGGGUACUGCCGGGCUGGAGUGCCGUAGGGGCAGGCGGAAUUCCGGGUGUAGCGGUGGAAUGCGUAGAGAUCCGGAAGAACACCGGUGGCGAAGGCGGCCUGCUGGGCGGCGACUGACGCUGAGGCGCGACAGCGUGGGGAGCAAACAGG
rnacentral:rRNA from 1 species